rnacentral:rRNA from 1 species
ACAAAAACAUCUUUUCUUGUUAGUUUUUGAAGUAUGGCCUGCCCACUGACUUAUUUGUUGAAGGGCCGCGGUAUUUUGACCGUGCAAAGGUAGCAUAAUCAUUAGUUCUUUAAUUGUGAUCUGGUAUGAAUGGCUUGACGAGACAUGGGCUGUCUUAGUGGUAUUGGUUGUUGAAUUUGGUUUUUGAGUUAAAAUUCUUAGAUGUUUUUAUGGGACGAGAAGACCCUAUAGAGUUUGACAUUUAUUCUUGUUGUGUGAUUAUUGUUUGUUAUUUAUUUUUGUAGUAAGUUGAGUGUUUUGUUGGGGUGAUGGGAGGAAUUCUUUUAACUCCUCUUUAUUUUGGUAUAUUUAUUUAUAUUAUUUUGAUCCAUUUAUUUUGAUUAUAAGAUUAAAUUACCUUAGGGAUAACAGCGUUAUCUUCCUUGAGAGUUCUUAUUGGCGGGGAGGUUUGCGACCUCGAUGUUGGAUUAAGGUGAAUUUUCGGUGCAGGGG